rnacentral:rRNA from 1 species
AGAGUUUGAUCAUGGCUCAGGAUAAACGCUGGCGGCGUGCCUAACACAUGCAAGUCGAACGCCCUGUUGCUUCGGCAGCAGGGAGUGGCGGACGGGUGAGUAACACAUGGGCCACCUACCCCCUGGUGAGGAAUACCGGCGAGAAAUCGUCGACAAGACCGCAUGCGCUUCCGACAACGAAGCAAAGCCCGGCAACGGGCGCCAGAGGAUGGGCCUGUGGCCGAUUAGCUAGUUGGGGAGGUAAAAGCCCCCCAAGGCGACGAUCGGUAGCUGGUCUGAGAGGAUGAUCAGCCACACUGGGAUUGAGAACGGCCCAGACUCCUACGGGAGGCAGCAGUGAGGAAUUUUCGGCAAUGGGCGCAAGCCUGACCGAGCAACGCCGCGUGCAGGACGAAGGUCUUCGGAUCGUAAACCGCUUUUCUCGGGGAUGAAUUUAUGACAGUACCCGAGGAAGAAGCCCCGGCUGACUACGUGCCAGCAGCCGCGGUAAGACGUAGGGGGCAAGCGUUGUCCGGAGUUACUGGGCGUAAAGCGCCCGCAGGCGGUCGGUCGCGUUUGAGGUAACAGCUCCUGGCUUACCUGGGAGAGCGUCUCAAAGACGGGCUGACUUGAGGGCCAGAGAGGGACACGGAAU